ACUCACCUGCCGAAUACUAGGGCCCCGAAAAUGAAUGGCGCAUAUAGUACUACCGAUCUCAGACAUCAGUUCUAUUGAACUGAGAGUAGGGGGAUGUGGACAUUUUUGUGAAGGUGCAAUGUGAGUUGGACUGGAAGAAUGUCUAUUACAGAUCCUAAUUGAAGUAGCGAUUAUCCAGGCUUGUAUCCUGGGGGCUGAUGAGGAGUAGGGUUUCUGGACAACUUAAACAGAUCCAGAGUUAGUCGAUCCUAAUCUCAAUAAUGGGAGAAAGGGAGUACAGUUGAUAUUCUGUAACUGACAACAGUUCGCGGCAACGCAUACUAUUUUUCUCCGCCAAUCUUAUACCGUUGGUAGGGAUCUCUUUCCUACAUGACAGUACUAAUACCCAGGGAAACUGGUCAUCAGGCGAACUGCGGCGUUCUGCUGGCAAAACAUAGCUUCGGUUAUGUCAAUGGCUAUUGGAUUGGUCCAUGAAGCGAAAAAUAGUUUACUGUGUCACUCGUACCGAUAACCGCAUCAGGUCUUCUAGGUAAGUAGCCUAUGGCCAUUGAGGCAUGAUAGUUCAGGGAAUUCGGCCAAUUAGAGCUGUAACUUCGGGAUAAAGCUUGGCUCUGAUGAAAAUCAGAACCGAUUGUUACGCGGAGAGCCCAACUGUUUAAUAAAAACGUAGUGUCGCGCUGUGGUAGUAUAGCCAGUGAACGCGACAUGAAUCCUGCUCAGUGCUGUGUCUGUUAAUAUGGUUCAAGCCAACGAAGCACCGGUAAAUAGCUGGGGUAACUAUGACUCUUAUCAAAGUAGCGAAAUACCUCGUCACUUAAUUAGUGACCUGCAUGAACGGAGCUAUGAGGUUCUCACUGGUCCAAACUGUCUCUCAGCGAACCAACUGUAGUGGGAACGGUCACUAGAUAUCCAGCGGGGAAAGAAGACCCUGUAGAGCUUCACUUUGGUCUAGUCUUGUAUAGUUCCUGCGGGGGUGUAGACUAGGUGGGAG
rnacentral:ncRNA from 2 species